GGCUCGCUUCUGCAGCACAUUACUAAAAUUGGAAUGAUAGGGAGAAGAUUACCAUGGCCCCUGUGCAAGAAUGACUUGCAAAUUCGUGAAGUGUUCCAUAUUUUU
ensembl:snRNA U6 U6 spliceosomal RNA